ACCCGAAGCGCCGCGCGCUUCCUCCCUUCUCCUUAUCAGCGUGGUGCCCGGCAGAGCCCACGGCCUUCCUCACGUUUCCUGGCCGUAGAGGGGUCUGUAAUGUAAUUAACGACGUAACGACGCGGCCGGUAAGUGCACCGACGCUCCCCGUGUCUCCCUUUCCCUGCAGCCCCUGGAGCCCCGCUCCCAUCCCAGUGUGCACCUGCAGCGCUGCCCCGCAGCCGGGGGGAGUGCAAAGGGGUCUGCAAACGGCGCUCAGAGCUGAAGGAAACUCUGAAUUUGGAUUGAUUAGCAUUAAUUAUUUGCAGCCCCUCCAUCAUCUAUAGAGCAGCCCUCGAGCUCUUCGCCGAACGCCGCCCAGGCUGCUGUCCCAUAGGGCGUUCUGACAGUGCAUGCUGUCUCCCAUCCUGUUAUCACACACCACACCGGUGAUGCCUUUUUCUCCAGGCCGGUGAUGGUGUCCCCCCCAGUUUUAUGUUCAGGACUGCUUUGUGCAGAAACCUUUGUGCCCUCAAUAAUCUCAUUCGUGCCCUAAAUCCGGCCUGUGCCCCCCCCCCAGCCGCAGCAGUGACCCAGCCAGGAGCGUUCCACCUCCCCGCAGAGCCUGCAGGCUGCACUGCGCUCAUCAGCCGUGGGGUCAAGGUCUGGUGCUCCGUUAAAACGAGCCGACCACAAAUAAACACGGGCUGCCAAUUAGCAGAAGAUCGUUAACUAGGUUCUGGAACCUUGCAGCGAAGGUGUUGGAGGCGACGGAUGAGAUUGUUUCCAGGGAGACAAUCUAUGGCAAAUCUAUGGCUGGGACCGUACUGCGUGACCCGUGACGCUGCAUUAACUCCGUGUGCUGAGCAGCCAGGCCCCUCCGUGUUCCCACUCCAGUUCUUACUGCCGACAUCAGCUCCCUGCUGACUUCUUUCUGCGGGCUCUCAUCGCCAUUCUCCCAAGGCAGCAGCGUAACGGGAUUCCUGCAGAGAUGUGUGGAGCUGCAGUUCCUGAGGAUGGAUGGGACGUCAGGGGACACCGGCGUCAGCCCCCUUUGGUCACACUGAAACCAAAUCUAUUUGGAAUGUGCCAUCUUCUGUGCAGCUGAGAAUUGCCUCCCACCCCAGUACCCCGAACGGACACCAACGGGAGCAGCCGCCCUUCCCGGCAGCAGGGAACCCUCCUGACCCGUCCGCGUGGCCGUGCCAUCGCCGCGUGCUCACAGGAGCUUUUUUGAGCCACGCUAUCGCUGCGUGUCGGAUGAACACACAGAAAGGAGGAACUGUCCUUCAGUGGUAGUCAGUACUGGAAAGCAGUGCCACACACAGAGCAGUGAUCCUCAUGGGAUCGUCGAGUCACAAAGGUUGGGAAAGAUUUCCAAGAUCACCAGGUGCAACCCCAACCCGUCCUUCAGCCACGUCACAGCCCAAUGGGAUCGGGGUUGUUGGGCUUCCAUCAGCCGUGUCACAGCCCAAUGGGACCAAGAUCACCGAGGUUCCUUCAGCUGUGCCACUACCCAAUGGGGUUGGGGUCACUGAGUUCUUUCAGCCGUAUCAUGACCCAACGGGACUGGGGCCAUUGGGGUUCUUUCAGCCAUGUCACAGCCCAGUGGGUUCAGGGUCAUUGAGGUUCAUUCAGCUGUGUCAUGACCCAAUGGGAUUGGGGCCACUGGGGUUUCCAUGUCAUGACCCAAUGGGAUCAGGGUAGUUGGGGCUCCUUCAGCCAUGUCACAGCCCAGCGGGGUCGAGGUCGUUGUGUCAUGACCCCACUCAUGUUCUUUUCCUGAACGUUUCCCAGUACGAACCCAGUAAUGAUUCUACGGGAUUAGGCUUGCACCUAUCCAUACUUCCAAUUCCUCAGUCAAAAUAUCCCCACAACCCAUAUAUAAAGCACUCAGAUUGACAUCUCAGAUGUCUCUCUGUAAAUCCUUGUGUUUAUAUACAUGAGUAUUCUGCGUGUAACUCUAUACAAGCGAGAUUAAUUAAAAAACGUGAGGUGCAUACCUUCUGUACCCAUCGUUACUGACUGCGGCUCUAUUCUAAGGCACAGUGCAGAGAUCCCUUUGGAGGGGUCAGGUGCCACAUGGGCAGGGGUCAUUUUUGGUAAAAACAUCCUGAAAACACCCAGCUUCCAGUGCCAUCAGCCCCAUGGGAGGACUUUAAGUCCCUUUAUUUGAAUCAGUCUUCAUUGUGUUCUGCAUACGGGGCCGACGUCCCCAGAGGUACGGACAAAAAGAGGGACGUGGAGGAUCAGUCUCGUUUUUAAUUGGGUAUCCACAGAUUCUGAUGGGAUAAUACAAAGCCAAAAAAGAGCGAUACAUACCGAGCAGCAACCUACCCUUCUAGCACAGCCCGUCCCAUUACAAACACUUUAGAAAAAGGACGCGUUUUUACACGUGGGUUCGUGUGAAAAGGGCCACUGCAAAGGAAGGAAAAAAACGGCGAUCCAUCAGCUCGUGUCGCCGCGGUGCCUUAAAAAACCCCUUCCCCAGGGGGCUACCGAGGGAACUGGGGUGGGUGCAGCAGUUCCACCGCUGUCGGGGCCGAUGUGAGCUCAUCGCCACCGCCGCCUCGUCCACUCUUUCCUUUUUCAGUGCCCGGAUAUGGUCAGGAGGAGAUGUGUUGCUCUUCAAACCUGUGCCGCUUGGCUUUCCUCGCCCACGCGCCCGCGUGCCUCCCAGCAAAAGGCUCUUUGGAAGAAAGAGACCGGAGCAGUGGCGCUGAGGGGUGCUCUGCCCGCUCACGUGUGCACACAGUGCAGGGCAGUGUGAGUUGUCCAAGCAGCAGCUCCGUUCCCCGAGCCGUUGCUGUGAACCAAAGGGGAUCACUGGGCGAUCCGGAAUGGGAGCGGUUCCCAAAUGGGCCCAAACAAAGCAUUUCCAUGCGUAAAUCCGCUGCCUGAUGGAGCACAGCGCAUUCAGAAGUGCAAAUAUCCAUCCUUAGAGAUGUUUCUGUGGGGCAGGAAUGGGGCCCGGUCUGCAUCAGGAACAUCAGCAGUGCAGCGAGGCGAAAGGGAUGGAGCUGAUUCAGUUUCCGCUGGUAAAGGGCGGAUUGGCUGUGAGGAUCUCCCGCAGUCUGCACUCCGGCGGAAAAAUCGGCGCCAGGCCCUCCACGCAUCGGCUCCGACGGCAGCGCUCUAUGGAACAGCAAACAGACGUGUCCGCAGUCACUCUGCAUUCCUCAUGGC